GUUAUAUCUACACAUCCAAAAAUACACAGUCGUGGCUUUUUCUGAUGCAUGCCUUGCAAGUCAAUGACUCUCUUCGYACAGAGGAUAACAUGGAAAGAAUUUUGCAGACGUUUUGCCCGGAGAGCAUCAAGACCAUGGACCUGAAUGAAUCGAAUGCAAUCUGUAUGAGGAAGUGUGCCUACAAAAC